ACGGAGGGUGCAAGCGUUAUCCGGAUUUAUUGGGUUUAAAGGGUCCGUAGGUGGACCAUUAAGUCAGAAGUGAAAUCCCGCGGCUCAACCGCGGAACUGCUUUUGAUACUGGUGGUCUUGAGUGUGCUCGAAGUUGGCGGAAUAUGACAUGUAGCGGUGAAAUGCUUAGAUAUGUCAUAGAACACCGAUUGCGAAGGCAGCCAACUAGGUCACAACUGACACUGAGGGACGAAAGCGUGGGGAGCGAACAGG
rnacentral:rRNA from 1 species